AAACGGAACCGGAUCAUACCAAUUAGUAGCACCCAAGAUCAGAGAGAUAGCACUAAGCCUUUGCAAGAAAAUGUCAAUGCCGCCGAAAGUUAUUGCGCCAGCAGAUGUGGCAAUGAUUUUCGUCCUGACGAAAUGAAACGUGAAACUUAUCAGAGAAGAAGGGACGACAACAAUCAGCUAGGCAGAGAUGAAUGGAUGCAGUACAUGUAACGCGUAUUACCUGUUACACUUUCCUUUAUACAUUUGAGACUUUGCUC
rnacentral:lncRNA from 1 species